AGAGUUUGAUCAUGGCUCAGGAUGAACGCUGGCGGCGUGCUUAACACAUGCAAGUCGAACGGAAAGGCCUGUACUUGUACAGGUACUCGAGUGGCGAACGGGUGAGUAACACGUGGGUGAUCUGCCCUGCACUAUGGGAUAAGCUUGGGAAACUGGGUCUAAUACCAUAUAGGACCACUUCUUGGAUGUUGUGGUGGAAAGCUUUUGCGGUGUGGGAUGAGCCUGCGGCCUAUCAGCUUGUUGGUGGGGUAAUGGCCUACCAAGGCGGCGACGGGUAUCCGGCCUGAGAGGGUGUACGGACACAUUGGGACUGAGAUACGGCCCAGACUCCUACGGGAGGCAGCAGUGGGGAAUAUUGCACAAUGGGCGCAAGCCUGAUGCAGCGACGCCGCGUGGGGGAUGACGGCCUUCGGGUUGUAAACUCCUUUCGCUAUCGACGAAGCCACCUUUGGUGGUGACGGUAGGUAGAUAAGAAGCACCGGCUAACUACGUGCCAGCAGCCGCGGUAAUACGUAGGGUGCAAGCGUUGUCCGGAAUUACUGGGCGUAAAGAGCUCGUAGGUGGUUUGUCGCGUCGUCUGUGAAAUCCCGGGGCUUAACUUCGGGCGUGCAGGCGAUACGGGCAUAACUUGAGUGCUGUAGGGGAGACUGGAAUUCCUGGUGUAGCGGUGAAAUGCGCAGAUAUCAGGAGGAACACCGAUGGCGAAGGCAGGUCUCUGGGCAGUAACUGACGCUGAGGAGCGAAAGCAUGGGUAGCGAACAGGAUUAGAUACCCUGGUAGUCC
rnacentral:rRNA from 1 species